CUUGAGGUUAAGGUUCAACGUUAUAUUUCCCGUCCUACAUGAUUGUGCCCAAAGUUAAAUAGCCAAUCUAUGGCAUGUAUGGUUUCCUCAAAAUUUCCGAAAACCGUCAGCGAUCAGUGAGCGACAGCCACGUGCAUAACUUCGAUCGUAGAAUCUUCAGCUUAUAGAAGAUAAUGAAUUUCACAUGAAAGAAGAGGUGAAAACUCAAUUGGUGAAAUUGCUGAUAAAAACGAUGAAUCAUAUAUUGGAGGCUCAAACAAUGGAUCUUAUUCCUGAAGAAAAAAAUGAAAUGUAUUCACAUCAAAUCGCAUGCACUACUUGCAGAUAGUUCAAUUCAAGAAAAACGAACACAAAGUUAGAUUUUGCCUUGAUGGAACAGUCUGAAGAAUAGUCAGAGCAUUAAUCUAGAGAAAUCAUUCAAGUUGCCUAUGGAAGGUCAAAGAUGUUUAUACAAAGUGAAUACCACCUGGUGAUUUUUCUUGGAGAGAUUCUAUUGUUGUAGUGGACAGCUGUACCAGCUGAUCUUGUCUAGUGAAGUGUUUUAAAGGAAACAUGCAAAAUU